rnacentral:rRNA from 1 species
GAUGAACGCUAGCGGCAGGCCUAAUACAUGCAAGUCGAGGGGUAGCAAGAUUGUAGCAAUACAAUUGUUGACGACCGGCAAACGGGUGCGGAACACGUACACAACCUUCCUACAAGUGGGGAAUAGCCCAGAGAAAUUUGGAUUAACACCCCGUAACAUAGCGAUGUGGCAUCACAUUGCUAUUAUAGCUUCGGCGCUUGUUGAUGGGUGUGCGGCUGAUUAGAUAGUUGGCGGGGUAACGGCCCACCAAGUCUACGAUCAGUAGCUGAUGUGAGAGCAUGAUCAGCCACACGGGCACUGAGACACGGGCCCGACUCCUACGGGAGGCAGCAGUAAGGAAUAUUGGACAAUGGACGCAAGUCUGAUCCAGCCACGCCGCGUGAAGGAUUAAGGUCCUCUGGAUUGUAAACUUCUUUUAUAAGGGACGAAAAAAGGUCUUUCUAGAUCGUCUGACGGUACCUUAUGAAUAAGCACCGGCUAACUCCGUGCCAGCAGCCGCCGUAAAAC